rnacentral:rRNA from 1 species
UCCUACGGGAGGCAGCAGUGGGGAAUUUUGGACAAUGGGGGCAACCCUGAUCCAGCCAUGCCGCGUGUGUGAAGAAGGCCUUCGGGUUGUAAAGCACUUUCGGACGGAACGAAAUCGCGCGGGUGAAUAUCCCGCGUGGAUGACGGUACCGUAAGAAGAAGCACCGGCUAACUACGUGCCAGCAGCCGCGGUAAUACGUAGGGUGCGAGCGUUAAUCGGAAUUACUGGGCGUAAAGUGUGCGCAGGCGGCGUCGCAAGUCGAGUGUGAAAGCCCCGGGCUUAACUUGGGAAUUGCGCUCGAAACUACGGUGCUGGAGUGUGGCAGAGGAAGGUGGAAUUCCACGUGUAGCGGUGAAAUGCGUAGAGAUGUGGAGGAACACCGAUGGCGAAGGCAGCCUUCUGGGCCAACACUGACGCUCAUGCACGAAAGCGUGGGGAGCAAACAGGAUUAGAUACCCUGGUAGUCCACGCCCUAAACGAUGAUGACUAGUCGUUGGGGGAGUUAAAUCCCUUAGUAACGCAGCUAACGCGUGAAGUCAUCCGCCUGGGGAGUACGGUCGCAAGAUUAAAACUCAAAGGAAUUGACGA